AUGCUUUCGUAAAUGGUCCUGGAUCAGGUGUUCAGCAAACAGUAUCUUCUCAACACAGACAGAGAAUCAAUUUUGCAAAGUUACAACAUGCAGUAGAAUUUUUCAGUGAUCCAUCAUUCAACCAGAUUUCAUCAUACACUACAAGGAACCUAAAGCUAGAUUCUGGAGACACUUUAGUAAUUCCUGAUGUAGUUAGGACUAUGAUCCAUUCAAAUUUGAUCAAACCUUACAACACAUACUGCGCCAGUAAUAACUUUGAGCAUCUUAGUGAGUCGACUCUAUAUGAAGUCCUAAAUGCAUGUAGUGCAUCAAAACGGAAGUGUCUGAAAGGACUUGAUAACAUUGCUGUUGAUGGAUCUUCAGCUUUUGACAGUCUGAGUAGCUUAUUUGAUAAACUUGAUGAACCUCAACAAUGGAAAAAAGAAAUGAAGGAAAAGCUGUUCAAUGCUCGACUGUACUUAAAGACUGACUACAAACUCCACAUCAAGCGAGAAGAUGAAUGUGCUUUCCACUGCUUACAAUAUGCACUGAGUGACCCCAAAUCAAGCCAUCUUAGUGUUUCAUGUGACCAUGAGCAUAAUAAGAUCUGCAGCAGGUGUAACAUAUUUGGUGAAGUUGCCACAGAGAUCCGCAAGGUCAUCAUAAAGACUCCAUCAGAAGAGCAAGAGGUACUAUAUUGCAAGAUUUGGAAAUGUCCGUAAUACAGGUAGAGGACUGGAGAUUUCAUAUUAUAAGAACUGUGAAUCAAGAUGAUGGAAGAGUAGACAUUCUGCAUGACUUGAAGAACAACGAAGUUUUAGUGAUUCUAGACUGGGCGAUGAAAUAUUUGCCACAGAUGUACCGUGAGAAAAUGAAAGACUUCUUUGGACAGAAAGGUGUACACUGGCAUGUGUGUGUUGCAGUUUUCAAGGAACAAAAUGGAGGUUUAGUGCACAAGACUUUUACUCACAUAAUGGAUUAUGUGAAACAGGACUUCUUUGCUGUUCUUUCAUUACUAGAACAUACACUAGUAACUAUUAAACAAUAGCUGCCACACAUUACAGAAGCUUACCUUAGAUCAGACAAUGCGGGGUGCUACCAUUGUGGGCAGAUAUGGCUCUCCAUACCAUCAUUGUCAGAAAGAACAGGAAUUACUGUGAAGCGUUUCGACUACAGUGAAGCACAGAGUGGAAAAAGUUACUGUGAUGCAAAAAUUGCUCACAUGAGAUCAAAGAGGAGGAUCUUUUCUUCAGAGGGCCAUAAUAUAUGUACAGCUAUCCAGAUGAAGGAGGCAAUUGAGAGUGGUGCAGGAGUCAAGGGAAC